rnacentral:rRNA from 1 species
AUGCAAGUCGGACGGCAGCAGGUCCUUCGGGAUGCUGGCGAGUGGCGGACGGGUGAGUAAUGCGUAGGAACCUAUCCUUUUGUGGGGGACAACCCAGGGAAACUUGGGCUAAUACCGCAUAAGCCCUGAGGGGGAAAGCGGGGGAUCUUCGGACCUCGUGCUGAAGGAGGGGCCUACGUCCGAUUAGCUAGUUGGUGGGGUAAAGGCCUACCAAGGCGACGAUCGGUAGCUGGUCUGAGAGGAUGAUCAGCCACACUGGAACUGAAACACGGUCCAGACUCCUACGGGAGGCAGCAGUGGGGAAUAUUGCGCAAUGGGGGAAACCCUGACGCAGCAACGCCGUGUGAGCGAUGAAGGCCUUCGGGUUGUAAAGCUCUGUUAAAUAAGAAGAAACUCCCAUAUUCUAAUACAAUAUGGGAUUGACGGUAUUAUUAGAGAAAGCACCGGCUAACUCCGUGCCAGCAGCCGCGGUAAUACGGAGGGUGCGAGCGUUAAUCGGAAUUACUGGGCGUAAAGGGCGCGUAGGCGGUGGGUUACGUCUGCCGUGAAAUCCCCGGGCUCAACCUGGGAAUGGCGGUGGAAACGGGCUGACUGGAGUAUGGGAGAGGGUGAUGGAAUUCCAGGUGUAGCGGUGAAAUGC